rnacentral:rRNA from 1 species
GAUGAACGCUAGCGGCAGGCCUAAUACAUGCAAGUCAAGGGGAUAGCAAUAUCACCGGCGGACGGGUGCGUAACGCGUACACAACGUGCCCAAGGGCGGAGGAAAGCGGCGGGAAACUGCCGGUAAUACUCCAUGGUGUUGUUGAGUGGCAUCACUUAACAACUAAAGUACAAGCGCCCUUGGAUCGGUGUGCGUUCGAUUAGCUAGUUGGCGGGGUAACGGCCCACCAAGGCUUCGAUCGAUAGGGGGUGUGAGAGCAUGACUCCCCACACGGGUACUGAGACACGGACCCGACUCCUACGGGAGGCAGCAGUAAGGAAUAUUGGACAAUGGGCGGAAGCCUGAUCCAGCCAUGCCGCGUGAAGGACGAAGGCGCUCAGCGUUGUAAACUUCUUUUGGAUGGGAACAAUAACUCCGACUUGUCGGAACUUGAGGGUACCAUCAGAAUAAGCACCGGCUAACUCCGUG